GUGUCAGCAGCCGCGGUAAUACGGAGGGUGCAAGCGUUGUUCGGAAUUACUGGGCGUAAAGCGCGUGUAGGCGGCCUGGUAAGUCGGAUGUGAAAGCCCUCGGCUUAACCGGGGAAGUGCAUCUGAAACUGCCUGGCUUGAGUACGGGAGAGGGAGGCGGAAUUCCCAGUGUAGAGGUGAAAUUCGUAGAGAUUGGGAGGAACACCGGUGGCGAAAGCGGCCUCCUGGACCGAUACUGACGCUGAGACGCGAAAGCGUGGGGAGCAAACAGGAUUAGAAACCCUGGUAGUCC
rnacentral:rRNA from 1 species